UACGGAGGGUGCAAGCGUUAUCCGGAUUCACUGGGUUUAAAGGGUGCGUAGGUGGGCAAGUAAGUCAGUGGUGAAAUCUCCGGGCUUAACCCGGAAACUGCCAUUGAUACUAUUGGUCUUGAAUAUUGUGGAGGUGGGCGGAACGGGUCAUGUAGCGGUGAAAUGCUUAGAGAUGACCCGGAACACCGAUUGCGAAGGCAGCCCACUACGCAAUGAUUGACGCUGAGGCACGAAAGCGUGGGGAUCAAACAGG
rnacentral:rRNA from 1 species